AGCGAACGCUGGCGGCAGGCCUAACACAUGCAAGUCGAGCGCCCCGCAAGGGGAGCGGCAGACGGGAGAGUAACGCGUGGGAACGUGCCCUGUGGUUCGGAACAACCCAGGGAAACUUGGGCUAAUACCGGAUAAGCCCUCACGGGGAAAGAUUUAUCGCCGAAGGAUCGGCCCGCGUCUGAUUAGCUAGUUGGUGGGGUAAUGGCCCACCAAGGCGACGAUCAGUAGCUGGUCUGAGAGGAUGAUCAGCCUCACUGGGACUGAGACACGGCCCAGACUCCUACGGGAGGCAGCAGUGGGGAAUAUUGGACAAUGGGCGCAAGCCUGAUCCAGCCAUGCCGCGUGGGUGAUGAAGGCCCUAGGGUUGUAAAGCCCUUUCGGCGGGGAAGAUAAUGGCGGUACCCGCAGAAGAAGCCCCGGCUAACUUCGUGCCAGCCGCCGCCGUAA
rnacentral:rRNA from 1 species